UCCUCCGUUCUUGGGCGGCUCGACUUGAAGCCGUCCUCGGUCGAUUUGUCGCUACGAUGAAUUGCUAUGAGCAGAGAAUUGGAGGGUCCAUGUGCCAAGGGAGCGUGUGAUUUGGAAGAUGGAUUCACAGUCGGAGCAAGUCCACUGACGAGACUGCGGGACUCUGCAAGGCGACUUCCCCCGCGAAUUGGGAAAAA